GAUGAAGAACGUAGCGAAAUGUGAUACUUGGUGUGAAUUGCAGAAUCCCGUGAACCAUCGAGUUUUUGAACGCAAGUUGCGCCCGAAGCCGUUAGGCCGAGGGCACGCCUGCCUGGGUGUCACACAUCGUUGCCCCAAUGCCAAUCGCCUCACUUUGUAGGUAUUUGCAUGGGGUGAAUGUUGGCCUCCCGUGAGCUUUGUCUCACGGUUGGUUGAAAAUCGAGUGCAUGGUGUCGGGUGUACCAUGAUGGAUGGUGGUUGAGUGAUGAUGCUCGAGACCAAUCAUGGGUAACUCCACCAGAAUUGGGCUCGGUGACCCACAUGCGUCCCUUGGAUGCUCCCUAAGGAGACCUCAGGUCAAGCGGGGCUACCCGCUGAGUUUAAGCAUAUCAAUAAGCGGAGGA
rnacentral:misc_RNA from 1 species